AGAGGUGUAGCUUAGUUGGUAAAGCACAUGAUUCCAAAUCAUGGGACCAAAGGUUCAAGUCCUUUCAUCUCUG